rnacentral:rRNA from 1 species
UACGAAGGGGGCUAGCGUUGCUCGGAAUCACUGGGCGUAAAGGGCGCGUAGGCGGAUACUUAAGUCGGGGGUGAAAGCCCGGGGCUCAACCUCGGAAUUGCCUUCGAUACUGGGUAUCUUGAGUUCGGGAGAGGUGAGUGGAAUGCCGAGUGUAGAGGUGAAAUUCGUAGAUAUUCGGCGGAACACCAGUGGCGAAGGCGGCUCUCUGGGACGGUACUGACGCUGAGACGCGAAAGCGUGGGGAGCGAACAGG